UACAGAGGUCUCGAGCGUUAGGCGGAAUCACUGGGCUUAAAGCGUGUGUAGGUGGAUGCCUAAGUACCUUGUGAAAUCCCACGGCCUAACCGUGGAACUGCUUGGUAUACUGGGUGUCUUGAGUCACUCAGGGGCGAGCGGAACAAAUGGUGGAGCGGUGAAAUGCGUAGAUAUCAUUUGGAACGCCAAUGGUGAAAACAGCUCGCUGGGGGUGCACUGACACUGAGACACGAAAGCCAGGGGAGCGAACGGG
rnacentral:rRNA from 1 species